CCAGUGCCAUCUCUGGAUCCUCGGCUCCCGGCCGCCUCCCAGUGCCACCCCUGAUCCCCGCCGCCAGCCCCACCCCGCCGCUAGAUUUCCUACGCGUCCGCUUGAGGUCCAGGACGCCGCCGCAUCAACUACCUGGAACGGCGGACUUCUUACCACAGGCGACCAUUAUGGAGGCCGGAUCGACGACCGCGGGUGGCUAAUCGAUGCUAACUCCUGCCGGCGCAUCCUUCACACGUUUAUUCCAUGAUCCGUUCCACCCGGGAGAGAUAGAAUCCGUGGAGCAGGUGCCGGCGCGCAGGGGGAACUCGGGCGGGAUUAAUGGAGAUGGAGGAGCGGGGCGGCGCGCGCAGGCCCGGGGACCGGGGUAGGAGGUCACCAUGUGAGGGAGCUGUUCAGGAGGUGCACGGACGACGGUGGCCUGAGGGUAUACAAGACACCUGUCGAGGGGUUGCGGGAUGUGCGAGAUCUCAGCGCCAAUCAGGUUCAAGCGGACAAGACCAAUGCGGCCAGGAGGGGUAUUGGCGAUGCGACCAACAUCAGACUGGAGGAGGCGUCGAGCUGUAGGCUCAAAGAGGAUCUACAUAAAUUAUUUACGCCUCUCACAAAUGAAGAUGAAACUUUAGUAGACACCUCAUUGUAUGGUAGUGGUCACAGUAAAAAAAUAUUAGUACUGCAUGAGCCUUUAAAGAUCGAGAUUACCAGAGAGAAAUUAGGGUGCUUGAGGCCUCGUGGUUGGUUAAACGAUGAGAUCAUCAAUUUGUACCUAGAAUUGUUAAAGGAGAGGGCAAAAAGAGAACCCACAAGAUUUUUAAAAUGCCACUUCUUUAACACAUUCUUCUAUAAGAAGCUAUGAAGGCAACAUGGACCUCCAAAUAGGGAAGCAAGAGAAGCACCACUUAAUAAUCAUUACAUCUGCUCUACUUGGAGUAACACUGUUAGUUGCAGUUUCCCUCUGCUGCUAUGCCUUCGCAUGGAAAACCAUCAAGAAAACUCAUCAGAAGGUCAGAGAAGGAAGCAUCCUCUUAUCUUGUUAUAUUUUCUUACAGUGUCUUUUAUUUUGUGUGCAUGUGGUCAAAGAAGAAACUCCUUCCUUCAUACAAGUUACAGAAGUCAAGCGCGCAAUCGUGCGAAAUUUUAGAAUGUCAUAGCCAUCGUUAUAAGCUUCACUCCUUUGUUUGAAUAAAUCUAUAGGGAAAGGUAAGGAAGAUAGAAGCUAUGGUUGCAGGCACACAUUAAAAAGAUCAUGUAUGUUGUAGAGGUAAGUUUACCUGGACAUUUGCUUUUGGUGAAUGACCAGAUUUUUGUACAUCAACUCAAUAUUCGUUAGAGACAAGAGUGUCUGGUUUGCAAUCUGGAAUUGAUUAGGCUAGGAGCGCUAUUGUGGAACAAAAUAUUCUCUUAGUUAGCUAUUUGCACUUGAGUUUAAUAGUAGUAUACUGCAACCAUAUGUCAAACAACCAAGUUUAUAGAGGGGAGGAUUUGACUAGAACCAUAUAUUGGUUGUCCUUUUUUUUUGUAUCGUUACCAUGUGAGUUUUCCGAAUGAUUUUGAGAGAUAGGUAAGACCAUGUAGUCCACUGUUUUAGACUGUCCAUACUGCUAUGUAUUUGCAGGUUAGUAAAAUGUCAACAAUCAGUAUGUGUUCAGUUAAAAAAAUGUUUGUGUUAGUCUCUCUACUCCCCACCAAGUCUUAAGACCCGAAAUGUGAGUCAAAAUCACUUUUAUAUGAUCAUGCAUAAGCCCAUAGUGUAACUCAAUGAUCAGACUUAACACCACAAUUAAAUCAGAUGGGAAAUUAUCAACAGAGGAGUGCUAAGUCAACAGUGGAUUGUAUAUAUAUUCAUAAAAAACCCACCUUACUCCAUUCAGGUUCAAAUGGCGAGGCACACCAUACUGGUGCAUCUUUUUUUUAAAGGCCCCUCCUGUGGGUAAUUAUCUGUACAUUGUUGCAUGUACCUGUGCAUAAGUAAGUUAAUAAAUGUUUAAAAAGAACUUGUAAGAACAUGACAAGAUUUGCUGUCUGAAACACACCCUGUGUGAGUAAAUAUGCAUGGAGUUUGUUGGCUGAAACCAUCACUGGCGGCGCCAUCGCUAAGGUGCACCGACAACCUGCUGCUUAGACGAGACCAGUCCAGUUUCUUUUCAUGCCGUCAUGUCCAAGUAUGUCCACAAGCGUGAUCUCCAUUGAGUCCUCAGACAGAACCGCCCCUACUAUGUCACAUGCUCGUGUCCACUGUGGUCACCAUGUUCGGAGCAGCUAACCUGGCAAAGUCCUGGGCCUCCGGUAGUGUUCCCAGUCUGAGGGCCUUCACUUCAGAGGCAAUCUGUCUUGGUACGUGACUUGCAUAAGCAAAAUUUUCAUUAACUAGAAUGUACAAAGUUUU